rnacentral:tRNA from 4 species
GGGGUGUUAGCUCAUUUGGUAGAGCGUUCGCUUCGCAUGCGAAAGGUCCGGGGUUCGACUCCCCGAUACUCCA